UACGUAGGCAGCGAGCGUUGUUCGGAGUUACUGGGCGUAAAGGGUGCGUAGGCGGUUGUUUAAGUUUGGUGUGAAAUCUCCCGGCUCAACUGGGAGGGUGCGCCGAAUACUGAAUGACUAGAGUGCGGGAGAGGAGAGUGGAAUUCCUGGUGUAGCGGUGAAAUGCGUAGAUAUCAGGAGGAACACCGGUGGUGUAGACGGCUCUCUGGACCGUAACUGACGCUGAGGCACGAAAGUGUGGGUAGCAAACAGG
rnacentral:rRNA from 1 species